rnacentral:rRNA from 1 species
AGUUCGGAUUGAGGUCUGCAACUCGACCUCAUGAAGUCGGAAUCGCUAGUAAUCGCAUAUCAGAACGAUGCGGUGAAUACGUUCCCGGGCCUUGUACACACCGCCCGUCACACCACGAAAGUUUGUUGUACCCGAAGUCGGUGCCUUAACCUCGCAAGAGGAGAGAGCCGCCCAAGGUAUGGCCGAUGAUUGGGGUUGAAGUCGUAACAAGGUAGCCGUAGGGGAACCUGACGGCUGGAUCACCUCCUUUCUAGGAGAGAAGGGUCCU